GUGCCAGCCGCCGCGGUAAUACGUAGGGUGCAAGCGUUGUCCGGAAUUAUUGGGCGUAAAGAGCUAAUAGACACCUUGUCGCGUCUGCCGUGAAAGCCCGGAGCUCAACUCCGGGUCUGCGGUGGGUACGGGCAGGCUAGAGUGCGGUAGGGGCGAUUGGAAUUCCUGGUGUAGCGGUGGAAUGCGCAGAUAUCAGGAGGAACACCGAUGGCGAAGGCAGAUCUCUGGGCCGCUACUGACGCUGAGGAGCGAGAGCAUGGGGAGCGAACAGGAUUAGAUACCCUGGUAGUCCAUGCCGUAAACGUUGGGAACUAGAUGUAGGGCCUGUUCCACGGGUUCUGUGUCGUAGCUAACGCAUUAAGUUCCCCGCCUGGGGAGUACGGCCGCAAGGCUAAAACUUAAAUAAAUUGACGG
rnacentral:rRNA from 1 species